rnacentral:tRNA from 1 species
ACCUGUUUAGCUCAGUUAGGUAGAGCAUCUGUCUCAUACGCGGAAUGUCACUAGUUCAAAUCUAGUAACAGGUA